GGGCCGCCUCCGCCGAAUCCGGCGCGUCCCCCCACGGUCGCACCGGAACCGGGGACCCACCGCGUACGCGGAACGCAGCGUACGCACCCGGGGUGAAUCGGGAGUCGUACCGCGGAGGGCCGCACGCGCCGCGCAUCGACCCGUAGGGCCGCCUUCCGAGAGCCCGAACCCGUCAGCUAACCCGGUAGGCGGUUCACGGAAGGAGUU
rnacentral:sRNA from 1 species